GGUUUUUGUUACACGGUUUAUAUUUUCUUCUUGAAUGUCCAAUAGAUUCAGAGCUCAGGUGCAUCAUAGUUCAAGAAUGGAAUUGCUACUUUGCCAUAAAGUUUUUUUGUUUUUAUUUUGUGAUUCUUAUAUCUAUAAAGCAUGACUGAUAAUAACUGUGAAAACUAUACCCGCAGCAGAAAUGUUCCAUAAAAAUAUUAUUCUGCACUUCAACUGGCAAUGUUGGACUACUGCAAACUAUUUACCUCUGCAUCCCAAGAGCAGAUUUCCAGACCAGAAGAUGCCAUUGUGAUCAUCUAGCCAGACCUUCUUCCAAACACAGACAACAGAGCUUCCCAUACUUAACUCUUUUUUAUGUAGAGCAUGUUACUAUCAAAAAAAUCCAAUCCUGAUUUAUUAAUAGCCAGGGAUGGAGUAUCCAACAUGAUCCUCGUCGCAGUACUCCCUUCAGUUGUUCCUGUUGGUCACAGUUUAAGUCCUCUCCCACGGGGCUGGCUGCCCAGGUGACCUCCUCCUUCCCCCAACGCCCGAACUCGAUCUCCGUGUGGAGAGCCUCCACCAAGGGGGGGUCCCGGGGCACCCACCGUUUCAGCAUAUUAACGUGGUACACUUGGCUCCUCCGUCAUCUGCCCCCUACUAGCACCUCAUAAUCCACCUCCCCGAUCUUCUGCACCACCCGGUAUGGACCUUGCCACCUGGCGAGGAGUUUGGAUUCCCCGGCUGGCAACAGCACUAACACCGGGUCACCAGGGUUAAAGGUCCUCGUACGCGCCCCCGCAUUGUAAUGAUGGGCUUGCGUUUCUUGCGCCCUUUGCAGAUUGUCCUGGGCCCACCGCCCCACCGUCUGCAUCCGCUCCCGCAGUUUAACGAUGUACUGAACGGCCCCCAACGCCGUCGGGGCCUGGUCUUCCCACCCUUCUUUUACCAGAUCCAAUAUCCCCCGCGGUCGUCGUCCGUAUAACAGCUCGAACGCCAUGACUGAGGGGUGAUCACCGCUAUCCAAGACAGCCCCACCUACCACCGAGGUUACAGAGGUCUCCAGACCCGAGGUGGCACUUCCAGCCGUAACAUACACCACUCCCAGCCCUGAGCCCCGCUCCUCCCUACUCCUAUCCAGGUUCUGAGCCCCCCUUCUCCUCUGUUUCUUUUAUUAUGGAAAAAAUACAACAU